rnacentral:rRNA from 1 species
GAUGAACGCUAGCGACAGGCCUAACACAUGCAAGUCGAGGGGCAGCGAGGAUGUAGCAAUACAUUUGUCGGCGACCGGCGCACGGGUGAGUAACGCGUAUGCAACCUGCCCGACACAGGGGAAUAACCCGAAGAAAUUCGGACUAAUACCGCAUAAUACAUUUUUCUCGCAUGGGAGGAAUGUUAAAGAUUUAUCGGUGUCGGAUGGGCAUGCGUUCCAUUAGUUAGUUGGUGAGGUAACGGCUCACCAAGACGACGAUGGAUAGGGGUUCUGAGAGGAAGGUCCCCCACACUGGUACUGAGACACGGACCAGACUCCUACGGGAGGCAGCAGUGAGGAAUAUUGGUCAAUGGGCGCAAGCCUGAACCAGCCAAGUCGCGUGAAGGACGACGGUCCUAAGGAUUGUAAACUUCUUUUGUCGGGGAGUAAAAUCGGAUAUGUAUAUCCGACUGCAAGUACCCGAAGAAAAAGCAUCGGCUAACUCCGUG